AUUCCCCACCCCUCCACCUUCCUCUCAUCACGCACUCUGCCCACGCACCCCACCGAUGAUGGCAAUGGAGACCAUCGAGCCUCGUGGAGAUGAUAUGGUUUCAGGACUCGCCGAACUACUCCACGGCCGUGAAUCACCAAUGAUAGGUAAAUCAGAUCCCGGCACUGCUCAUGGCAUCGACCUUCUGGCAUCAAUAGCCACCGAUCUGGAUUUGGAACCAAGCUCCAGAUCCGAAGUGGUUCUUCCCCAUCGCCCUGAAACCGGCGGUGGCGCCGGUCAAUGUCGAUGGUAUUCCUCCGGUAACAGUCCAUCGUAAGUGCAGCCCUACAUUUUGAUUCCCCCUCCCUAUGUCCUUUAAGUUCUUAGUGCUAACCACGGCUGUUCUUAUUGGUGAUUGUCCAUGAAUCAUGGAUGCGGCGACAACGAGCGAGAGAGCUUUGGCUGAGGUGAAGGCGGGCAAUCAGUUGGAGGAGGAGGCAUGUGAAUGGCUCAAGAGUGACGCGGCAGCAUGAAGCAGCUACGUCUUGAUGACGCAAGAUGACGCGGCGGCGUCUCGCUAGUGCCAGGAGGAGGUGGGGGCGACCACUGCGCCAGAAUCCUCGUCGGUGCAAGAGUGACAUACACAUCUUCUUGGCGGCUGCGGCGGCCGCACGCGUCGGUGGCUGCUGGCAUCAUGUGCUCGUUCAUUGGAGUUUCUCUGUAUGAAUUUCUCAAGGGGUGUGCAUCAAAACCCAAUUAAAAAACAGUAAAAGCCACCUAUGCGAUCAUGGGGGGCGGGCAGAUUUCAUAUAAUCUGUCUCUCGCAUGAGCUAAACCUAUGAAGAUUGGCUUCUUUCGUACGGCUCUGGUAUGCAAGAUUGAAUAACUCUUAUUGCCUAUGUUCUUUCCUUUGCUAUUGCUAUCAACAAUUUAGAAUUGUUCUAGCUAAAGAACAUAAUUAGUCUAAAAUGAGUAGGAAUGGGCAGAAUAUGCUUGAUGCAUGAAUCAUGACAAAAUGGCAUUUAUUGAUCAUGCAUUCUGUUAUUUUGGAUCUUCUGGAAAUAAAAUGUCAUUGCCAAAUGUUGAUAAUUUGAGGUCUGGUUUAAUUCCUUCUAGCCAUGAACCACUUUAGGAUUUAAAGUGUGCAAUCCUAAUGCGAAUACUGUUAA